AGCAGUGUGGACGUACCGUCGCCCAUAGCAACGGCCUAGUUCAACUGGUGGUCUGAUCUGUUGCCUAGCACAUGUAACGGUUUACUGGUGGUCUGAUCUGUUUAACGGUUUCCUUCUGGAAUGUGUGGGCAGUACGCUCUUGCAGCCGCGCAGCUGGAGAGUAUAAAAGGAGAGGUUCGCUAAUAAAGCAAGGACCAUGAGAAGAAAAGUGCCUCCCUUCUCUCCGUCCUCGUCCUUUCAGGUUUAGGACCUGCUGGCAGGAUCCUAACGUCGCGGCUCGCGACAGAAUAGGAUCGAGACUCCUCCAAAAAGGGCUAGGGAAACAAACUGCUGCUUAUCUGGGGCUAAAUGAGAGAGCUUUAAAGUCCUUUUGAUUUGUCACCUGCUAUUUCUAUGGGUAGAGUUUUAAAUGUUUAACUUUAAUGUCAAUCUUUACAAAAUAUAUAAUAAAAUACAAAUAGCCCCACUACUUUUAGAAAUCAUUUUCUCUCUACUCGAUAUAGUCUGUGUGCAAGUCUGUGUGCAAGGCCUGGCAUAAUUUUACAGCUCUAGGAUGUGGAAUAGAGCUAGAAGCCAGAGCCAGAACACCCCUUCACUCGGUUUUUAAGUAAGGGUUUAUGUAUGUGAAGUGGGGAGUAAAACCAAGGGGAAAACUGGACACAAUUCAGAAAUCUUUCAGGCAAGUUUGAGCUACUCUUUAUGAGGUUACCUUUCAAGGUCUUUUCGGCUGUCCCUAUGAGGAGUUGCCCUCAACUACAGUUCCGGGGAUUGAAUUUAGGACCUUGAGCAUGCCAGGGGAGAAAAAGACCCCAGACCCAGAAGUGUAUAAAAGGCAAGACCCCCUGCCAUGCUGGGUGUUCAGCAUUUGGAUACAGAUAUGAAUCCACUGGGCCCAUGGUGUCAUAAAUAAAGCCACUUCCCGGAAAGAGCAUUGGUGUCCCAUCUCUGGCAAUACCAACUCAGCUACAAGUCUUCUCUGAAGUGGAGUUGUAUUCAUCUGUUUACUUAGUUUCAAAGAGC